UUACUGAUGUGAUACACCUUGUGGGCAGAGGCUCUUUGUUGCUGAGAGCUAGUAAGUACUGUAGUCACAUACUGCCAAAUAACCAUCUUUACAUAAACAAAUCAUCUGACUUCCUACAUGGCCCACAUUACCAAAUGAUUGGUGCCCCGAGUUAAUCUUGCAGUCACUGCUGUUGAGCAUUGCUGACUGGUGUAUCUGGAUUUCACUCUGUUAUCAAACACUGUCAGUUCAAGAGUGAUCGAAAUGCAAGCUGCAAAAGUUUUGUCAGCAGCCAGCAAAGGAACUAAAGAACAGCUUUUGUCUGCAAAAGUAUCUCAGGAAACUGUUCUGUGGACGACUGUCUUCAAUGGUACUCUACAGGUCUCUGACCCUGCUCCCUUGAGGAAAUACAGGAGAAAAUUCUAGCUCCUACUAGGUGUUGCUGCUUCUUACUGCAUCUGGGCUUUGACCUCUUAUCCAUUUAAAAUGCAUCUGCUGAGUGCUGAGUUCUUCUCUUUUGUCUGUUGCUCUGAAGCUCUGAGCAUAAAACUUUUUUUUUUUGUCCUGUUUCAUUUGCUGCUCUACCUUUUCCUGUUCCUCACUGCACAAUCUGUCUUACCUUGAAGGUCGUUCACAGCACUCCCUCCCUGUCUAGUCAUGUCUCUUAUCUCGGAACAUUAAUUUAGCUUGCCUACUGCGAGUGAAAGUAAUAAAAAAUAAUUGGUUGUUUGCA
rnacentral:lncRNA from 1 species